ACUUUCCCCGGGGGAAGUCAGCUGUCAUGUCAUGAGGGCACUCAAGAAGCCCUGUGGGAAGAGCCACGUGACAAGGAGCUGAUGCCUGCAGCCAACAGCCAGCUGCCCCAGAGCGGCUGGAGCACUGCAACUAAGGCAGAUGUGAGCUCUGGAAUCGCAGUCACCAGCACUGCUGUGGCACCUUCGCUCUUAGUGUCUGCUUCUGUCAACGCUGAGAGUGCCUGUCUCCCCCACUGGAUGAGAAGCUCAUCAGGGAAGCUUGCAUAGAGAAGGAGGCAGAGAUGUGGAAAUGCCCAUGGGCAGAAGACACACACAGGACAUUGAACCUAUGGACAUGGAGUGCUACAGAGGCCUCUGUCAAGGACCGAGUAACCAGAUAUUCAAUUGUGUCUCCCUCGAGAUAGCGAAUGCUGGGGCGUGGGGAGGCACAGAGCCUGAGUCUAUGAGCCCCCACUCUCUGAACCCCCGCCCCUCAGGAAACUCCUCCCGCAUGAGGCAGUGGGCAAGCAGAGCCUGCCUUCCAUGGGAGGAGCCCAAGUAGUCCACACCUACUUUCCCUGCCUCCCUUGCAGCUAGGGCAUGGCGUGUGACUGGGCUCUGCCAAUCAGGCACCUGCUCUGGAGUUUGAGUUGGAGGCUUGUCCUGUCCAGGACUCUUUCUGGAAGGGCCUGGGCCACAUGGGUUUCCUGGUGGCUGUGAAGAAGGAGGACUUCACCAGGCUGGCUCUGUGGUAGGAAGGGAGGUGAAGUCCCCUUUUCCAUGGGAUCCUCCUGCCUUCCUGGGAGUCUUGUAUACCCCAAUAUCUGUUUAUAUACAUCUUCUUCUGCUUCAGUGAGCCACAGUUGGAUUUUAUUGUUUGUCACUAGGAAUCUCGAAGGAUCCUCUUGGGGACAACCACUGGGAUCAACCUUGAAGGAGGAGCUGGUGUUAAUGGGAAGGACAGCAGGUGCACUCGGGGCAUGGGAAACAGCUGCCCAGGGUCAAGGUCAGACUUCAAGGACACGACAGGGAGAGCUGGGAAUGAACCUCUGGGUCAGAGCCAUCGGAGUGUGGAGUUGGGUCGGGGGAAGUACCAGCAGAGGGGCAGAUCCAAGGCAGCCAAUCCUGAAUGCCAGGUGGAGAGCAAACUUGGAUGCCAGCCUGUGGGCAGUGGGACCCAGUGACAUACUCUAA